rnacentral:tRNA from 1 species
GCGCCCUUAGCUCAGCUGGACAGAGCACGAGACUUCUAAUCUCGGGGUCCCAGGUUCGAGUCCUGGAGGGCGCGCCA